GGGCGCUUAGCUCAGCCGGUAGCAGCACCUGCCUUUUAAGCAGGGGGUCGUGGGUUCGAACCCCACAGCGCCCA
rnacentral:tRNA from 1 species